rnacentral:rRNA from 1 species
UACGAAGGGUGCAAGCGUUACUCGGAAUUACUGGGCGUAAAGCGUGCGUAGGUGGUGAGUUAAGUCUGUCGUGAAAGCCCCGGGCUCAACCUGGGAAUGGCGAUGGAUACUGGCUCGCUAGAGUGCGGUAGAGGGUGGUGGAAUUCCCGGUGUAGCGGUGAAAUGCGUAGAGAUCGGGAAGAACAUCGGUGGCGAAAGCGCUCUACUGGACCGCAACUGACACUCAGGGACGAAAGCUAGGGGAGCGAAUGGG